UUUUGAAUAUAGUCAAUCAUGAUGGUUUAUUUACGGUAAACAGGUCUUUAUGGUAUUCAAAAU
rnacentral:tRNA from 1 species